AGACCCGAAACCCGGUGAUCUAGCCAUGGGCAGGUUGAAGGUUGGGUAACACUAACUGGAGGACCGAACCGACUAAUGUUGAAAAAUUAGCGGAUGACCUGUGGCUGGGGGUGAAAGGCCAAUCAAACCGGGAGAUAGCUGGUUCUCCCCGAAAGCUAUUUAGGUAGCGCCUCGUGAAUUCAUCUCCGGGGGUAGAGCACUGUUUCGGCUAGGGGGCCAUCCCGGCUUACCAACCCGAUGCAAACUGCGAAUACCGGAGAAUGUUAUCACGGGAGACACACGGCGGGUGCUAACGUCCGUCGUGAAGAGGGAAACAACCCAGACCGCCAGCUAAGGUCCCAAAGUCAUGGUUAAGUGGGAAACGAUGUGGGAAGGCCCAGACAGCCAGGAUGUUGGCUUAGAAGCAGCCAUCAUUUAAAGAAAGCGUAAUAGCUCACUGGUCGAGUCGGCCUGCGCGGAAGAUGUAACGGGGCUAAACCAUGCACCGAAGCUGCGGCAGCGACACUCAGGUGUUGUUGGGUAGGGGAGCGUUCUGUAAGCCUGUGAAGGUGUGUCGUGAGGCAUGCUGGAGGUAUCAGAAGUGCGAAUGCUGACAUAAGUAACGAUAAAGCGGGUGAAAAGCCCGCUCGCCGGAAGACCAAGGGUUCCUGUCCAACGUUAAUCGGGGCAGGGUGAGUCGACCCCUAAGGCGAGGCCGAAAGGCGUAGUCGAUGGGAAACGGGUUAAUAUUCCCGUACUUGGUGUUACUGCGAAGGGGGGACGGAGAAGGCUAUGUUGGCCGGGCGACGGUUGUCCCGGUUUAAGCGUGUAGGUGUGUGUUCCAGGUAAAUCCGGU
rnacentral:rRNA from 1 species